rnacentral:rRNA from 1 species
GGAUGAGCCCGCGGCCUAUCAGCUUGUUGGUGGGGUAAUGGCCUACCAAGGCGACGACGGGUAGCCGGCCUGAGAGGGUGACCGGCCACACUGGGACUGAGAUACGGCCCAGACUCCUACGGGAGGCAGCAGUGGGGAAUAUUGCACAAUGGGCUCAAGCCUGAUGCAGCGACGCCGCGUGAGGGAUGACGGCCUUCGGGUUGUAAACCUCUUUCAAUAGGGACGAAGCGCAAGUGACGGUACCUAUAGAAGAAGGACCGGCCAACUACGUGCCAGCAGCCGCGGUAAUACGUAGGGUCCGAGCGUUGUCCGGAAUUACUGGGCGUAAAGAGCUCGUAGGUGGUUUGUCGCGUUGUUCGUGAAAACUCACAACUCAAUUGUGGGCGUGCGGGCGAUACGGGCAGACUAGAGUACUGCAGGGGAGACUGGAAUUCCUGGUGUAGCGGUGGAAUGCGCAGAUAUCAGGAGGAACACCGGUGGCGAAGGCGGGUCUCUGGGCAGUAACUGACGCUGAGGAGCGAAAGCGUGGGAGCGAACAGGAUUAGAUACCCUGGUAGUCCACGCCGUAAACGGUGGGUACUAGGUGUGGGUUCCUUCCUUGGGAUCCGUGCCGUAGCUAACGCAUUAAGUACCCCGCCUGGGGAGUACGGCCGCAAGGCUAAAACUCAAAGAAAUUGACGGGGGCCCGCACAAGCGGCGGAGCAUGUGGAUUAAUUCGAUGCAACGCGAAGAACCUUACCUGGGUUUGACAUGCACAGGACGCCGGCAGAGAUGUCGGUUCCCUUGUGGCCUGUGUGCAGGUGGUGCAUGGCUGUCGUCAGCUCGUGUCGUGAGAUGUUGGGUUAAGUCCCGCAACGAGCGCAACCCCUAUCUUAUGUUGCCAGCGCGUUAUGGCGGGGACUCGUAAGAGACUGCCGGGGUCAACUCGGAGGAAGGUGGGGAUGACGUCAAGUCAUCAUGCCCCUUAUGUCCAGGGCUUCACACAUGCUACAAUGGCCGGUACAAAGGGCUGCGAAUCCGCGAGGUGGAGCGAAUCCCUUGAAAGCCGGUCUCAGUUCGGAUCGGGGUCUGCAACUCGACCCCGUGAAGUUGGAGUCGCUAGUAAUCGCAGAUCAGCAACGCUGCGGUGAAUACGUUCCCGGGCCUUGUACACACCGCCCGUCACGUCAUGAAAGUCGGUAACACCCGAAGCCGGUGGCCUAACCCUUGUGGAGGGAGCCGUCGAAGGUGGGGCUGG